rnacentral:rRNA from 1 species
UACGAAGGGGGCUAGCGUUGCUCGGAAUUACUGGGCGUAAAGCGCACGUAGGCGGCUUCUUAAGUCGGUGGUGAAAUCCUGGAGCUCAACUCCAGAACUGCCUUCGAUACUGGGAGUCCCGAGUCCGAGAGAGGUGAGUGGAACUGCGAGUGUAGAGGUGAAAUUCGUAGAUAUUCGCAAGAACACCAGUGGCGAAGGCGGCUCACUGGCUCGGUACUGACGCUGAGGUGCGAAAGCGUGGGGAGCAAACAGG